rnacentral:rRNA from 2 species
CGGUGGUCAUAGCCACGGGGAAACGCCCAGUAUUCCAUACCGAACCUGGAAGCUAAGCCCGUGAACGCCGAUGGUACUGCACCUGGUAGGGUGUGGGAGAGUAGGAAACCACCGCAACCAC